rnacentral:tRNA from 1 species
AAGGGUAUAGCUCAAGUGGUGGAGCACAUGCUUAGCAUGCACGAGGUCCUGGGUUCAAUCCCCAGUACCUCCC